rnacentral:rRNA from 1 species
CACUGAUAUGAAGAGCUUGCUCGGAUUUGAAGAUGAACAUUGCAAAGAGUGGCGAACGGGUGAGUAACACGUGGGAAACCUACCUCUUAGCGGGGGAUAACACUUGGAAACAAGUGCUAAUACCGCAUAAUACUGAUAACCGCAUGGUUAUCAGUUGAAAGAUGGUUCUGCUAUCACUAAGAGAUGGUCCCGCGGUGUAUUAGCUAGUUGGUAAGGUAAUGGCUUACCAAGGCAAUGAUACAUAGCCGAGUUGAGAGACUGAUCGGCCACAAUGGGACUGAGACACGGCCCAUACUCCUACGGGAGGCAGCAGUAGGGAAUCUUCCACAAUGGACGAAAGUCUGAUGGAGCAACGCCGCGUGUGUGAUGAAGGGUUUCGGCUCGUAAAACACUGUUGUAAGAGAAGAAUGACAUUGAGAGUAACUGUUCAGUGUGUGACGGUAUCUUACCAGAAAGGAACGGCUAAAUACGUGCCAGCAGCCGCGGUAAUACGUAUGUUCCAAGCGUUAUCCGGAUUUAUUGGGCGUAAAGCGAGCGCAGACGGUUGUUUAAGUCUGAAGUGAAAGCCCACAGCUUAACUGUGGAAGUGCUUUGGAAACUGGAUAACUUGAGUGCAGUAGAGGAGAGUGGAACUCCAUGUG